CCUACGGGUGGCAGCAGUGGGGAAUAUUGGGCAAUGGAGGCAACUCUGACCCAGCAACGCCGCGUGAAUGAUGAAGGUCUUCGGAUUGUAAAGUUCUGUGAUGGGGGAUGAACACAAUGACGGUACCCAAAUAGCAAGCAAGGGCUAACUAGGGGCCAGCAGCGGCGGUAAUACGUAGGUGGCAAGCGUUAUCCGGAAUGACUGGGCGGAAAGGGGGCGUAGGGGGUUUAGUAAGUUGGCGGUGUAAUUCCGGGGCUCAACCUCGGCGCUACCGCCAAAACUAUUAGACUAGAGUGCAGGAGGGGUAAGUGGAAUUCCUAGUGUAGCGGUGGAAUGCGUAGAUAUUAGGAGGAACAUCAGGGGCGAAGGCGACUUACUGGACUGUAACUGACACUGAGGCACGAAAGCGUGGGGAGCAAACAGGAUUAGAUACCCCAGUAGUC
rnacentral:rRNA from 1 species